rnacentral:rRNA from 1 species
CCUACGGGUGGCAGCAGUGAGGAAUAUUGGUCAAUGGGCGGAAGCCUGAACCAGCCAAGUAGCGGGCAGGAUGACGGCCCGACGGGGUGUAAACUGCUUUUAUACGGGAAUAACGCGCCUUACGUGUAGGGCUUUGCAUGUACCGUAUGAAUAAGGACCGGCUAAUUCCGUGCCAGCAGCCGCGGUAAUACGGAAGGUCCGGGCGUUAUCCGGAGUUCUUGGGGUUAAAGGGAGCGUAGGCAGCAUGGCAAGCGUGCUUGGAAAUGGCCGGGCUCAACCCGGGCCUUGCAGCGCGAACGGGCGUGCUUUAGUCCGCGGCACGCAGGCGCAUUUCGUCGUGUAGCGGU